GCAGUGGUGGUUCAGUGGUGGAAUUCCCACCUUUUAUGAGGGAGUCCUGAGUUUGAUUCCUGGCCAAUGCC
rnacentral:tRNA from 1 species